rnacentral:lncRNA from 1 species
UCUGUAGAGAGAAGUCAAAAAGCUUACAGCACCUGGUAUGUCAGUUAUGCUGGGCAAGUGUGUGGGAUGAUGUACAAUUACACCCUGUUGACAGAGAAACUGAAAUGUUCUCACUGUGAAAAGAUGAGGCAGGCGGUGAGCAAGACACAUGGUGAUGCAGACAGUGACCAGGAGGAGGAUGAUUCACAUCACCUGCAACAGUACAUGUGGUUGGCACACAGUCCCAAGAUUCUGAUAAACCUUGCCCCAGCCAUCAGAAGCAUGUUUCCUGCUAUUCUGUGUUGGAAGCGUGCUAUUGACAGAGGUGUCGUCACCCUGCUGAGCGACCGGCUCAAUGCUGUGUCCAUGAAUAAGGUACAGAGACUGCUGCAGCAGGGCCAUGAUGAGUGGUAUGUCCAGAGGCGUGACCUUUACCAGAUUCUCCUGUACGAGGCCCACACAGCUGGAUCUUCAUCGUCUCAGAGUGGCAUCCUGUCCUUUGUAAAAGCUACAGGUACAUACACCCCUCCCCUCCCCCAGUCUCCCCUUCCAUCUGCCCGUGUGCUGAGGCGUGCACACAUGAUCAUGGAAAUGGAAAGGAUGCCUGUGUACAGAGCUGCCAUCCUUAGUGUGACUGGAGAAAUCCUCUGCAUUGAUGGUACAAAAAAGGUCCUCAAGAAGAUAUAUGGUGAUGGCCAGGGCACCAUGCAGUAUGUCACCAGUGUUCUGAAUGAAUGGGGCCAGUUCUUGACGACGGUGGUGGUGGCAGCUGAGACUGAGGGGUGCUACAGGCGUAUGACAAACGGUCUGAUUGCCCGGUUCCAACAUGCAAACGCUCCAACAACUGUUGUCAUUAAGUUAAAUUUAUUUAUGUUUUAUUUAACCUUUAUUUAUUGUCUCUUUUCCAAGGAUGUCCUGGUCAGGAAGCAUUAAAAAACAAUCAAUCAAAACAAGCGAGAAAAUACAAUAUAAAUAAUACCUCCAUAUAACUGAUAAUGAAAUUAAUAAUUCAAUUGAUAGAUGAAACAGUUAACAUUAAAUUACAUCUUUUUACCAGGAACACGUGCUGUAUAAAAUGUUGAUAUCAUGUCAGUGACAGUGGUUCAUCCUUCCUG